GGGUUGUGAGGUUAAGCGACUAAGCGUACACGGUGGAUGCCCUGGCAGUCAGAGGCGAUGAAGGACGUGCUAAUCUGCGAAAAGCGUCGGUAAGGUGAUAUGAACCGUUACAGCCGGCGAUGUCCGAAUGGGGAAACCCAGUGUGAUUCGUCACACUAUCGUUAACUGAAUACAUAGGUUAACGAGGCGAACCGGGGGAACUGAAACAUCUAAGUACCCCGAGGAAAAGAAAUCAACCGAGAUUCCCCCAGUAGCGGCGAGCGAACGGGGAGCAGCCCAGAGUCUGAAUCAGCUUGUGUGUUAGUGGAACGGUCUGGAAAGUCCGACGGUACAGGGUGAUAGUCCCGUACACCAAAAUGCACAGGCUGUGAACUCGAAGAGUAGGGCGGGACACGUGGUAUCCUGUCUGAAUAUGGGGGGACCAUCCUCCAAGGCUAAAUACUCCUGACUGACCGAUAGUGAACCAGUACCGUGAGGGAAAGGCGAAAAGAACCCCGGCGAGGGGAGUGAAAAAGAACCUGAAACCGUGUACGUACAAGCAGUGGGAGCACCUUCGGGUGUGACUGCGUACCUUUUGUAUAAUGGGUCAGCGACUUAUAUUCUGUAGCAAGGUUAACCGUAUAGGGGAGCCGCAGGGAAACCGAGUCUUAACUGGGCGUUAAGUUGCAGGGUAUAGACCCGAAACCCGGUGAUCUAGCCAUGGGCAGGUUGAAGGUUGGGUAACACUAACUGGAGGACCGAACCGACUAAUGUUGAAAAAUUAGCGGAUGACUUGUGGCUGGGGGUGAAAGGCCAAUCAAACCGGGAGAUAGCUGGUUCUCCCCGAAAGCUAUUUAGGUAGCGCCUCGUGAAUUCAUCUUCGGGGUAGAGCACUGUUUCGGCUAGGGGGUCAUCCCGACUUACCAACCCGAUGCAAACUACGAAUACCGAAGAAUGUUAUCACGGGAGACACACGGCGGGUGCUAACGUCCGUCGUGAAGAGGGAAACAACCCAGACCGCCAGCUAAGGUCCCAAAGUCACAGUUAAGUGGGAAACGAUGUGGGAAGGCACAGACAGCCAGGAUGUUGGCUUAGAAGCAGCCAUCAUUUAAAGAAAGCGUAAUAGCUCACUGGUCGAGUCGGCCUGCGCGGAAGAUGUAACGGGGCUAAACUGUGCACCGAAGCUGCGGCAGCGACACUAUGUGUUGUUGGGUAGGGGAGCGUUCUGUAAGCCUGCGAAGGUGGCCUGUGAGGGUUGCUGGAGGUAUCAGAAGUGCGAAUGCUGACAUAAGUAACGAUAAUGCGGGUGAAAAGCCCGCACGCCGGAAGACCAAGGGUUCCUGUCCAACGUUAAUCGGGGCAGGGUGAGUCGACCCCUAAGGCGAGGCCGAAAGGCGUAGUCGAUGGGAAACAGGUUAAUAUUCCUGUACUUGGUGUUACUGCGAAGGGGGGACGGAGAAGGCUAUGUUAGCCGGGCGACGGUUGUCCCGGUUUAAGCAUGUAGGCGGAGGUUCCAGGUAAAUCCGGUACCUUUUUAACGCUGAGGUGUGAUGACGAGGCACUACGGUGCUGAAGUAACAAAUGCCCUGCUUCCAGGAAAAGCCUCUAAGCAUCAGGUAACAUUGAAUCGUACCCCAAACCGACACAGGUGGUCAGGUAGAGAAUACCAAGGCGCUUGAGAGAACUCGGGUGAAGGAACUAGGCAAAAUGGUGCCGUAACUUCGGGAGAAGGCACGCUGAUAUGUAGGUGAAGCCCCUGCGGGUGGAGCUGAAAUCAGUCGAAGAUACCAGCUGGCUGCAACUGUUUAUUAAAAACACAGCACUGUGCAAACACGAAAGUGGACGUAUACGGUGUGACGCCUGCCCGGUGCCGGAAGGUUAAUUGAUGGGGUUAUCCGUAAGGAGAAGCUCUUGAUCGAAGCCCCGGUAAACGGCGGCCGUAACUAUAACGGUCCUAAGGUAGCGAAAUUCCUUGUCGGGUAAGUUCCGACCUGCACGAAUGGCGUAAUGAUGGCCAGGCUGUCUCCACCCGAGACUCAGUGAAAUUGAACUCGCUGUGAAGAUGCAGUGUACCCGCGGCAAGACGGAAAGACCCCGUGAACCUUUACUAUAGCUUGACACUGAACAUUGAGCCUUGAUGUGUAGGAUAGGUGGGAGGCUUUGAAGCGUGGACGCCAGUCUGCGUGGAGCCAACCUUGAAAUACCACCCUUUAAUGUUUGAUGUUCUAACGUUGGCCCCUUAUCGGGGUUGCGGACAGUGUCUGGUGGGUAGUUUGACUGGGGCGGUCUCCUCCCAAAGAGUAACGGAGGAGCACGAAGGUUAGCUAAUCCUGGUCGGACAUCAGGAGGUUAGUGCAAUGGCAUAAGCUAGCUUGACUGCGAGCGUGACGGCGCGAGCAGGUGCGAAAGCAGGUCAUAGUGAUCCGGUGGUUCUGAAUGGAAGGGCCAUCGCUCAACGGAUAAAAGGUACUCCGGGGAUAACAGGCUGAUACCGCCCAAGAGUUCAUAUCGACGGCGGUGUUUGGCACCUCGAUGUCGGCUCAUCACAUCCUGGGGCUGAAGUAGGUCCCAAGGGUAUGGCUGUUCGCCAUUUAAAGUGGUACGCGAGCUGGGUUUAGAACGUCGUGAGACAGUUCGGUCCCUAUCUGCCGUGGGCGCUGGAGAAUUGAGGGGGGCUGCUCCUAGUACGAGAGGACCGGAGUGGACGCAUCACUGGUGUUCGGGUUGUCAUGCCAAUGGCAUUGCCCGGUAGCUAAAUGCGGAAGAGAUAAGUGCUGAAAGCAUCUAAGCACGAAACUUGCCCCGAGAUGAGUUCUCCCUGAGACUUUAAGUCUCCUGAAGGAACGUUAAAGACGAUGACGUUGAUAGGUCGGGUGUGUAAGCGUAGCGAUACGUUGAGCUAACCGAUACUAAUGAACCGUGAGGCUUAACCUUACAACGCCGAAGGUGUUU
rnacentral:rRNA from 1 species